UGGGGAAUAUUGGACAAUGGGCGAAAGCCUGAUCCAGCCAUGCCGCGUGUGUGAAGAAGGUCUUCGGAUUGUAAAGCACUUUAAGUUGGGAGGAAGGGUUGUAGAUUAAUACUCUGCGAUUUUGACGUUACCGACAGAAUAAGCACCGGCUAACUCUGUGCCAGCAGCCGCGGUAAUACAGAGGGUGCAAGCGUUAAUCGGAAUUACUGGGCGUAAAGCGCGCGUAGGUGGUUUGUUAAGUUGGAUGUGAAAUCCCCGGGCUCAACCUGGGAACUGCAUCCAAAACGGGCAAGCUAGAGUAGUGUAGAGGGUGGGGGAAUUUCCUGUGUAGCGGUGAAAUGCGUAGAUAUAGGAAGGAACACCAGUGGCGAAGGCGACCACCUGGACUGAUACUGACACUGAGGUGCGAAAGCGUGGGGAGCAAACA
rnacentral:rRNA from 1 species